rnacentral:sRNA from 1 species
GACAGGUGUGGUGGUGCACGCCUGUAAUCCCAGCUUCUUGGGAGGCUGAGGCAGGAGGAUUGCCAGCCUCACAAUGUAGCAAAGCCCUCAGCAAUUAGCAAGAUCCUGUCUCAA